rnacentral:rRNA from 1 species
GCACAAGCGGCGGAGCAUGCGGAUUAAUUCGAUGCAACGCGAAGAACCUUACCAAGGCUUGACAUACACCGGUAACGCCCAGAGAUGGGUGCCCCUUUGUGGUCGGUGGACAGGUGGUGCAUGGUUGUCGUCAGCUCGUGUCGUAAGAUGUUGGGUUAAGUCCCGCAACGAGCGCAACCCUCGUCCUAUGUUGCCAGCGGGUCAUGCCGGGGACUCAUGGGAGACUGCCGGGGUCAACUCGGAGGAAGGUGGGGAUGACGUCAAAUCAUCAUGCCCCUUAUGUCUUGGGCUUCACGCAUGCUACAAUGGCCGGUACAAAGGGCUGCGAUACCGCGAGGUGGAGCGAAUCCCAGAAAGCCGGUCUCAGUUCGGAUUGGGGUCUGCAACUCGACCCCAUGAAGUCGGAGUCGCUAGUAAUCGCAGAUCAGCAACGCUGCGGUGAAUACGUUCCCGGGCCUU